UUUCGUUAACGUUGGUCAUCAUUUGACAUAUCUGGGUUAUCAGACAUAAAAAAGCGGCUGCAAAGCCGCUUUUU
rnacentral:sRNA from 1 species